UGUGUGUGUGUGUGUGUGUGUGUGUGUAUGUAUAUAUAUAUAUAUACAUACAUACACACACACACACCCACACAUU